rnacentral:rRNA from 1 species
AGACGAACCGUACGAACGUUAUUCGGAAUCACUGGGCUUAAAGAGUCCGUAGGCGGCUUGGAAGGUGGAGUGUGAAAUCCUACAGCUCAACUGUAGAACUGCGCUCCAAACCAUCAAGCUCGAGGAAGUCAGGGGUGAGCGGAACAAAUGGUGGAGCGGUGAAAUGCGUUGAUAUCAUUUGGAACACCGGUGGCGAAGGCGGCUCACUGGGACUUUUCUGACGCUGAGGGGCGAAAGCUAGGGGAGCGAACGGGAUUAGAUACCCCAGUAGUCC